rnacentral:rRNA from 1 species
UACGUAGGGUGCGAGCGUUGUCCGGAAUUAUUGGGCGUAAAGAGCUUGGAGGCGGUUUGUCGCGUCUGCUGUGAAAACUCAGGGCUUAACCCUGAGCCUGCAGUGGGUACGGGCAGACUAGAGUGUGGUAGGGGAGACUGGAAUUCCUGGUGUAGCGGUGGAAUGCGCAGAUAUCAGGAGGAACACCGAUGGCGAAGGCAGGUCCCUGGGCCACUACUGACGCUGAGAAGCGAAAGCAUGGGGAGCGAACAGG